CCUACGGGUGGCUGCAGUGAGGAAUAUUGGUCAAUGGUCGGGAGACUGAACCAGCCAAGCCGCGUGAGGGAUGAAGGUACAGAGUAUCGUAAACCUCUUUUGUCAGGGAACAAAGGCGGGGACGUGUCCCCGGAUGAGUGUACCUGAAGAAAAAGCAUCGGCUAACUCCGUGCCAGCAGCCGCGGUAAUACGGAGGAUGCGAGCGUUAUCCGGAUUUCUUGGGUUUAAAGGGUGCGCAGGCGGUCUGUUAAGUCAGCGGUCAAAGCCCGGGGCUCAACCCCGGCCCGCCGUUGAAACUGGCAGUCGCGAGUUGGAGAGAAGUAUGCGGAAUGCGCGGUGUAGCGGUGAAAUGCAUAGAUAUCGCGCAGAACUCCGAUUGCGAAGGCAGCAUGCUGCAGCGGAACUGACGCUGAUGCUCGAAAGCGCGGGUAUCGAACAGGAUUAGAUACCCUGGUAGUC
rnacentral:rRNA from 1 species